GAUGAACGCUGGCGGCGUGCCUAAUACAUGCAAGUCGAGCGAACAGACGAGGAGCUUGCUCCUCUGACGUUAGCGGCGGACGGGUGAGUAACACGUGGAUAACCUACCUAUAAGACUGGGAUAACUUCGGGAAACCGGAGCUAAUACCGGAUAAUAUAUUGAACCGCAUGGUUCAAUAGUGAAAGACGGUUUUGCUGUCACUUAUAGAUGGAUCCGCGCCGCAUUAGCUAGUUGGUAAGGUAACGGCUUACCAAGGCAACGAUGCGUAGCCGACCUGAGAGGGUGAUCGGCCACACUGGAACUGAGACACUGUCCAGACUCCUACGGGAGGCAGCAGUAGGGAAUCUUCCGCAAUGGGCGAAAGCCUGACGGAGCAACGCCGCGUGAGUGAUGAAGGUCUUCGGAUCGUAAAACGCUGUUAUUAGGGAAGAACAAAUGUGUAAGUAACGAUGCACGUCUUGACGGUACCUAAUCAGAAAGCCACGGCUAACUACGU
rnacentral:rRNA from 1 species